CACCCCCCUCAAGGCACCGUUUGUGUGACUUUGGUGUUGGGGCUCGCCCAUUCGGGUGGCCCUUAAAGACAGUGGCGGUGCCGGCGUGGGCUCUACGCGUAGUAACUUUUAUCUCGCGACAGAGCACUGACGGCUGCUAGCCAAAAGCUCCAUCUUUUUAGAUUUAUCUAUCAAA
rnacentral:misc_RNA from 1 species